AGAGAUAAAUAGUUUUUGAUCUAUGAUUCAUUGAGCAUAUGAAAGAUUAUAUUUAAGUGCUGAUUAAUUUUAGAUUAGAUCUGAAUUAAUUAAUCUUAAUUGAGUCUAAAAUUCAAGUUACACUUGGUCCAAAAGUUCUAAAGAGUUUGAGAUUGACAGCCUUUCGAAAUUAUUUCGAACCAGCUUCGAAUUAGAUUCGAAUCAGAUCUAUUUUGAUGAGA
rnacentral:lncRNA from 1 species